rnacentral:misc_RNA from 1 species
AAAAUAAUCCUACCCUUUGUGAAUUUUGUUUGUUUGAAUAAUUUUUUUUUUUUAAAAAAUUAUUGGAGUCUUUCCCUUUAGAGUUUGCUUUUGAGUUUGUAAAAGAAUUCGAAAACAUCUAAAGGGGAUGGUCAAUAAUUUUUUUUGAAAAAAGACAUUUUUUAAAAUUAAACUUUUUGUAUUCAUUUGUCUAAAAAUUAUUUUUAUAAUAUAAAAACAACUUUUGACAAUGGAUCUCUUGGUUCUCGCAACGAUGAAGAACGCAGCAAAAUGCGAUAAGUAGUGUGAAUUGCAGAAUACGUGAAUCAUCGAAUCUUUGAACGCAUAUUGCACUUUUUUAGUUUACUAAAAAAGUAUGUCUGUUUGAGUAUCAGUAAAAUAUUCUCAUAAAAAUCAUUGUGUAUUUUUAUGGUUAUGAGUGUUUUACAACGAUACAAGUUGUUUCACUUUAAAUUUUUUUUUAAUAUUGAAAUUUUUCUAAUUUUAAUAAUUAAAAUUGGAUAAAAUUUUCCCGUCAAAAGGAAUAACCUAAACAAUUUUAAACGAUUAAUUUUAGCAAAAUUUUCGUAAAAAAGGAAAAUUUUUAUUAAAAUAACUUGAUCUCAAAUCAGAUAAGAGUACCCGCUGAACUUAAGCAUAUCAAUGAGCGGAGGAAAAGAAACUAACAAGGAUUCCCUUAGUAACGGCGAGUGAAGCGGGAAGAGCUCAAAUUUGAAAUCUUCAAGGUUUUACCUUGACGAAUUGUAGUUUAAAGAAGUGUUUUCUGCUGAAGUUUUGGUAAAAGUUCUUUGGAAUAGGACAUCAUAGAGGGUGAGAAUCCCGUAUUUGACCAUUAUUUUCAGCUUUGUGAUACACUUUCAAAGAGUCGGAUUGUUUGGGAAUGCAGUCCAAAAUGGGUGGUAGAUUUCAUCUAAAGCUAAAUAUUGGCGAGAGACCGAUAGCGAACAAGUACCGUGAGGGAAAGAUGAAAAGAACUUUGAAAAGAGAGUUAAACAGUACGUGAAAUUGUCAAAAGGGAAGCGUUUGACACCAGUGUUGUUUUCUCGAAAAUCAAUUAAAAAUGGCUCGAUUUUGUAUUGCUGAGACCUUAAAAGCUCACUGUACAUUUUUCGUGUCUUUUUUAAUGCACUUCUCGUUUAACAAGUCAACAUCAGUUUCUUUUGUUGUAAAAGGGUCAUUGGAAGGUGGCCUUCUUUUCGGAGAAAGUGUUUAUAGCCUUUGGCCUCUGCAAUCGGAGAGACUGAGGUCUGCAGCGUAGACUCUUCGGGUUAGAUACAUUUGUGCUAAGUUAUAGCUUUUUAUAGACAACUUGUUGACUAUAAUUAGUCUUGUAGCUUACUCGCUUAUGCUAUUUUACCUACACUUAGGAUG